rnacentral:rRNA from 1 species
AACGAACGCUGGCGGCAGGCCUAACACAUGCAAGUCGAACGCCCUAGCAAUAGGGAGUGGCAGACGGGUGAGUAACACGUGGGAACCUUCCCUAUAGUACGGAAUAGCUCAGGGAAACUUGAAGUAAUACCGUAUACGCCCGAGAGGAGAAAGAUUUAUCGCUAUAGGAUGGGCCCGCGUCGGAUUAGCUAGUUGGUGAGGUAAUGGCUCACCAAGGCGACGAUCCGUAGCUGGUUUGAGAGAACGACCAGCCACACUGGGACUGAGACACGGCCCAGACUCCUACGGGAGGCAGCAGUGGGGAAUAUUGGACAAUGGGCGCAAGCCUGAUCCAGCCAUGCCGCGUGAGUGAUGAAGGCCUUAGGGUUGUAAAGCUCUUUUAGCAGGGAAGAUAAUGACUGUACCUGCAGAAUAAGCUCCGGCUAACUUCGUGCCAGCAGCCGCGGUAAAGUACAGUGU